rnacentral:snoRNA from 1 species
AACCCAUGGUGAGGGCAUCUUUGCAAAAAAAUCCUUAUAUCUCUCCCACGCAUCGUAGAGUGUUUCUAAAUCCAUCUGUACAAAAGAAGAGAUAUCAUUACGUAAUUU